AAAGUUGUCGUCUUCGGCCGACAACAGGGCGUGUAUGAAAUUGGGCGGAAUAUCGGCGAAACGGAUCGGAGAACGGCGCAUUUCGCCAAACUCUGCGAUGAGCUUGCCGUCGCUGCUGAACACCCGCAGCGGGAUCUGCAGCUGAAUAUUGCGCAGGGCAUCGACCGAAGGCAGAUUGGGCGCCAGAUAGAGAAAGGCGCCGCUCAGGCCGAGCAGCAGCCCACAGACGACCGCGACGAUGGACCACCAGAAAAACUUCAGCAGGCGUAUCAAGGCUUUUGGAUUUCCAGAAAA
rnacentral:antisense_RNA from 1 species